rnacentral:misc_RNA from 1 species
GUGAAUCAUCGAAUCUUUGAACGCAAAUUGCACUUUCUGGUAUUCCGGAAAGUAUGCCUGUUUGAGGGUCAGUUAAAUAAAAAACGGAGUGGUUGCGGCCUUUAGUGGUGAGGCGGGGGAAUGGGGACGGCUUACCUGCGGUUAAGGGAAGUAAAAUUUUGGAAUGAAUUGUGAACGUAUUUAAAUCGGUGAAGUACGGGGGAGAUAUAGAAAGG